GUUUGAUCCUGGCUCAGGAUGAACGCUAGCGGCAGGCCUAACACAUGCAAGUCGAGGGAGAAGCCCUUUCGGGGGCAGAAACCGGCGCACGGGUGCGUAACGCGUAUGCAACCUACCUUUCACAGGGGGAUAGCCCGAAGAAAUUUGGAUUAAUACCCCAUAAUAUUAUUGGAUGGCAUCAUUUGAUAAUUAAAACUGCGGUGGUGAAAGAUGGGCAUGCGUCCUAUUAGCUAGUUGGAGUGGUAACGGCACCCCAAGGCUACGAUAGGUAGGGGUCCUGAGAGGGAGAUCCCCCACACUGGUACUGAGACAGGGACCAGACUCCUACGGGAGGCAGCAGUGAGGAAUAUUGGUCAAUGGUCGGAAGACUGAACCAGCCAUGCCGCGUGCAGGAAGAAUGCCUUAUGGGUUGUAAACUGCUUUUAUAUGGGAAGAAUAAGGCGUACGUGUACGUUGAUGACGGUACCAUAUGAAUAAGCAUCGGCUAACUCCGUGCCAGCAGCCGCGGUAAUACGGAGGAUGCGAGCGUUAUUCGGAAUCAUUGGGUUUAAAGGGUCUGUAGGCGGGCUAUUAAGUCAGGGGUGAAAGGUUUCAGCUUAACUGAGAAAUUGCCUUUGAUACUGGUAGUCUUGAAUAUCUGUGAAGUUCUUGGAAUGUGUAGUGUAGCGGUGAAAUGCUUAGAUAUUACACAGAACACCGAUUGCGAAGGCAGGGGACUAACAGACAAUUGACGCUGAGAGACGAAAGCGUGGGGAGCGAACAGGAUUAGAUACCCUGGUAGUCCACGCUGUAAACGAUGGAUACUAGCUGUUUGGCGCAAGCUGAGUGGCUAAGCGAAAGUGAUAAGUAUCCCACCUGGGGGAGUACGCACGCAAGUGUGAAACUCAAAGGAAUUGACGGA
rnacentral:rRNA from 1 species